rnacentral:rRNA from 1 species
CCCGUACGUGGUCGCUAGCCUUUACCGUGUAAAGCCCCUUCGACGAGUCGAGUUGUUUGGGAAUGCAGCUCUAAAUGGGAGGUAAAUUUCUUCUAAAGCUAAAUACUGGCCAGAGACCGAUAGCGCACAAGUAGAGUGAUCGAAAGAUGAAAAGCACUUUGGAAAGAGAGUUAAAAAGCACGUGAAAUUGUUGAAAGGGAAGCGCUUGCAGCCAGACUUGCCUGUAGUUGCUCAUCCGGGUUUCUACCCGGUGCACUCUUCUAUAGGCAGGCCAGCAUCAGUUUGGGCGGUUGGAUAAAGGUCUCUGUCAUGUACCUCCUUUCGGGGAGAACUUAUAGGGGAGACGACAUGCAACCAGCCCGGACUGAGGUCCGCGCAUCUGCUAGGAUGCUGGCGUAAUGGCUGUAAGCGGCCCGUCUUGAAACACGGACCAAGGAGUCUAACAUCUAUGCGAGUGUUUGGGUGUCAAGCCCGAACGCGUAAUGAAAGUGAACGGAGGUGGGAACCUUUCGGGGUGCACCAUCGACCGAUCCUGAUGUCUUCGGAUGGAUUUGAGUAAGAGCAUAGCUGUUGGGACCCGAAAGAUGGUGAACUAUGCUUGAAUAGGGUGAAGCCAGAGGAAACUCUGGUGGAGGCUCGCAGCGGUUCUGACGUGCAAAUCGAUCGUCAAAUUUGGGCAUAGGGGCGAAAGACUAAUCGAACAUCUGG